AAUCAACGCUGGCGGCGUGCCUAACACAUGCAAGUCGAACGCGAAAGUGGAGCAAUCCAUGAGUAGAGUGGCAAACGGGUGAGUAACGCGUGGGUGACCUGCCUUCGAGUGGGGGAUAACGUUCCGAAAGGGACGCUAAUACCGCAUGACAUCCUGCCUUUGAAGAGGCGGAGAUCAAAGCCGGGGAUCGCAAGACCUGGCGCUUGAUGAGGGGCCCGCGUCUGAUUAGCUAGUUGGUGGGGUAACGGCCUACCAAGGCAACGAUCAGUAUCCGGCCUGAGAGGGCGGACGGACACACUGGGACUGAGACACGGCCCAGACUCCUACGGGAGGCAGCAGUGGGGAAUCUUGCGCAAUGGGCGAAAGCCUGACGCAGCGACGCCGCGUGAGGGAUGACGGCCU
rnacentral:rRNA from 1 species